rnacentral:rRNA from 1 species
GACGAACGCUGGCGGCGUGCUUAACACAUGCAAGUCGAACGAAGUGGCGAACGGGUGAGUAACGCGUAAUCAACCUGCCCUUCAGAGGGGGACAACAGUUGGAAACGACUGCUAAUACCGAAUACUGAAGGAGGGGAUUGCGUCUGAUUAGCUAGUGGGAGGGGUAACGGCCCACCAAGGCGAUGAUCAGUAGUGGGUCUGAGAGGGUAAUCGGCAACAUGGGGACUGAGACAAGACCCAAACUCCUACGCGAGGCAGCAGUAGGGAAUCGUCCGCAAUGGGCGCAAGCCUGACGGAGAAACGCCGCGUGAGUUAAGAAGGUUAUCGGAUCGUAAAGCUCUUUUGUAAGAGAAGCGGUAUCUUACCAGAAAGCAACGGCUAACUACGUGCCAGCAGCCGCGGUAAUUC